UACAGAGGGUGCGAGCGUUAAUCGGAAUUACUGGGCGUAAAGCGUGCGUAGACGGUUAUUUAAGUCGGAUGUAAAAGCCCCGGGCUCAACCUGGGAAUUGCAUUCGAGACUGCAUUGCUGGAGUACGGAAGAGGAGGGCGGAAUUCCCGGUGUAGCGGUGAAAUGCGUAGAUAUCGGGAGGAACAUCAGUGGCGAAGGCGGCCCUCUGGUCCAGUACUGACACUCAAGUGCGAAAGCGUGGGGAGCAAACAGG
rnacentral:rRNA from 1 species